AUGGUUGGAGCGACGGGAGGAUCUGCAAGCGUCCACCGCGUGGACCCCCGUGCCGAGCUUCAAGCGGCGAUGGAGCGGAAUGCACGGGAGGCGCGGGAGGCGGAGGAGCUGAGGGCGGCCGCUGCCACGGCGGUGCAGGAGACGACGGAGAGGUCGGCGGAGGCACAAGCCGACGCAGCGGCCAAGGCUCAGGCGGAGGCUGCAGCCGCAGAGAGGGCGGCGGAGGCCCUGCGUAACCGGCAUCCGCAGCUUGUCGUCCCCCUUCGCACUGUGGCGCCCGAGAUCCCGGUGCCCCCGCCGGAGGAAACCGGUGGCGACCAGCUGGUGGGGGAGAGGGAGGAGGGCGACGUCGUCGUCUAG
rnacentral:rRNA from 1 species